AGGUUGGCGGUUCGCUUCCCUCCCGUAUCGACUUCUGGAUAAAACAGCCUCCCAUUUGUUUCCGCUAAGCGACAGCUGAUAUUUAAAACUCCGCAGAAACUGUAAACUUAACGGCAGAAGACGGAGGGAGCCGCUGAUGUCGGCAGACAGCCUUAUCGAUCAGCGAGCCAGGGAGAGUCUCACGUUCCUCCGGGCCCCGCCCACCCUAACCUUUACCGCCACUGGUCGACAGGUCCAUCAAUCAAAGUGACUGACGGCUGCGGCGGCCCCCUCAUCCCGCUGAUCAAUGGCGAUGGAUUUUCUCCUCUCAGACACAGAUAUUAUGACAUCUGAUGGUGAGGUGGUUAAUAUUCCUCCAUCUGACACACACACACACACACACACACACACGCAGAGUGAGGAGAGCGUAGGCGGAUAUCAAUCUCAGUGUCUGUUGUCUUAUCAAUAACACUUUGAAUGGAAGAUGAGAACAGGAGGGAGAAGGCCACCGGGGCCACACAUUCGUCUUUCUUGUCAAAACCUGCUGCAUACGUUACCCACAAUGCAAUUCAGUUGGAGAUCUAGCCUCCAACCUCACUUUCUUUCUAACUCCAGAUUCAUUUCAUUGUCAAACUUUUAGUCUUCAGCCUCGACCGACGCUGACUCGAGUGACAUCACUUGAGCUCCAUCUGUGACGGAGAAAGAUUUUACCCCAAAAAAUUUAGAUAAAAAAGGAAGAUUUUAAAUUUAUGGAGCCUGAGAGAGACCACUGAGAGAAAAAAACAAGUAAUAUUUUCUAACAGCUGUCAUUGAACACAACACACAAAUCUGAGAUGUGGGAAGGCUACCCAGGCUCUGCCGGAUAGUUCGUCCUCAGGAGCACAAACUUUUUUUUUUUUUUUUUGGGCCUUGAGUCACAGAGAGGCUGUCAGAGCAGGAGUAGAAGUUAGUUUGUUGUCAGUGGAGUUGGUGGAGUGUCUACACUGUAAACUGCGAGGCAAACAGAGCUGUGUGCAGCGACAACUCGUCUCGACACUCUCCAUACCGCAGCGUCUGACUGUAGGGAAUCAUUAUGAGCCAUCUGAGGAUGUUUAUUAAUGACCUUGGCAUGGUCGGAGGUUGGCUGCCAUGCUGUUAAUGCUAUUCACUGGCACACAGCGAACCAUGGCAGCGCACAAAGAGAGGCAGGGAGAGCAGAGGACAAGGCGCCUGGUGGACAUCCAUAUUAAUGCCAAGCUCGGCCUGUGUUCUGCUGCCAUGAGCCCCAGCUGAAGCCCAGACAGAGCAGCCUGAUCCCUCAGGACGCGCUCCUUUAUCUUCAUACCGGCACAUCCGCUGCGGCCCGAACUGUCACGAGACGUCUCAAAAGAUGUCUGGAGAUGUCCUCAAAACGUCUUCAGACGCCUUCUGAUGUUUCAAGAAGUUCCUGUGACGGCAAAGUUUGCGGACGUCUGGAGAGAAGAUUCGACUUUACUUUCAAAGUCGGGAACGCGGAGCUGAACGUUUUACGCACAAAGAGGAACGAAAACAAUCAUGUUAGGUUCAGGAGAGCUGCUGGUCAGCCAGAGAGGCAGAAAUAAUGAAUCCAUGCAGCUCUUCACGUCACAUGUUAAGAAACAAAAAGGAACGCUCUGGGGAGGAGAACACGUCCCGACCGCUGCGGCGACAAGCCGUUGUGUUUUAUCCUCCGCCUCGGUCCUUUAACUUCUGCUGCGUAAUUGCUUGUUCUCAGCCUUCCUCCACAGUGAGGAGGAGGAGGAGGAGGACUGUGUGUGUGUGAGUGUGUGUGUGUGAGAGAGAGAGAAAGAGGGGGUAAAUAUUUCUGGAUGUGCAGUUGUUUAUGUCUGAGAGGUAGAACUGUCUCACCGGGAGAGUCACAAAAAUACAGAAACAACACAGUGAGUCACAGCUGCUGUCUGUGCUGCUGAUAAUAGAACUCAAGAUUUCUAUCUGUCUCUUUAUUAACAGAAUAUUUAAGAUGGUGUUUUAUAAAAGAAAAAUGUGUUUCUACUUGUCAACAAACGCCGUGAAAAGUCUGAUUAGUCUCAUUAAUGAAAAAAUUUAAAAAAGGCUCAAUGAUUUCUUAAAAUAGCUGGGAACUGUUCAGCAUCGCUUCAAACACUUCACACUUUAUUCUAACCUAGAAAACUCUAGAAAACCUAGAGUCCCGUCUCACUAUGACGAGAAGCACCUUGGUUUUCCAUCCUCGACUGUGCAGGUAAACACUCGCGUCAGGCUGUCCUGAGAGAAAACGCCGUACCGCCGGGGAGCGAGCGAGCGAGCUGAGCUGAUGAGACUCAUGGACUCAGUCGAUGGCGUUUCUUCUUCUUCUUCUACAACUUCAACAACAACAAGAAAAUAACACGUUAAAAAACUUUGUUCAGCUGUUGUUUUAGCAUUAACAUCACAUUACCUGGAAAAACUAGCUAGCUAGUCGGCUGAAGGAAGCUGCACAUGUCAGAACCAGACAAAUAAUCACAUUCAGGAGACUUCCUACGACUUGUUUCAACAGUUUUAAUCAGAAGACGAAUUCAACACACGUCAACAAUAAAUCAAUAGUAUUUAUUUCCUUAUAUAUUUUUUUGAUAUUUAUUGUUACAAAAUGUGUAUAUGUGUAUGAAUGAUAUGAGGGAAACGUUAGCAUUUGGCUACUUCUCCUGAACAUCUGUUGUUUGGUUUCUUUUCCCUGAUAUUCAGCCAUUGUGGGUUUUUUUUCCACUUUCACAUUGUUUACAGUGUCAAUAAAUCACGUGUGGAACAAAUAUUAUGAAGCCACUUGGCAAAAAAAAACCUCUGACUUCCUCUAGUUUCUCAGGUGUGUAAUCCCGGAUGAUCUUUUACCAUCUUAAACUGUCGUAGAAAAACACAUAAUAACAAAUUUAUCACGCAAAAAUGUAAAGAUCUGUAAUAACCAUAACAUGCACACUGAACUGGACGUUUUUGGUUAAAAGGCUUGUGAUGAGAAAUGUCUGUAUGAGUCUGAUUUGAUAUUUUGGGGUGUAAUAUUAAAUAAUAUAUGAUUCAACUCAA